rnacentral:rRNA from 1 species
GCCGCAGUAUUUUGACUGUGCAAAGGUAGCAUAAUCAUUAGUUUUUUAAUUGAAAGCUGGAAUGAAGGGCUGGAUGAGAAAGUUUCUGUCUCACAAUUAUUUUAAUUGAAUUUUAUAUUUAAGUUAAAAAGCUUAAAUUUUAUAGAAAGACGAGAAGACCCUAUAGAGUUUAAUAGAUUUAUUUUACACUUAGUUUUAGGUUUAAAUUUAAUUGUUAAAUAUUCUAUUUGGUUGGGGUGACAUAAGAAUUGAAUUAACUUCUUAUUAUAAUAACAUUGAUUUAUGAAUGCUUGAUCCUAUUAUUUAGAUUGUAAGAAUAAAUUACCUUAGGGAUAACAGCGUAAUUUUUUUAGAGAGUUCUUAUCGAUAAAAAAGAUUGCGACCUCGAUGUUGGAUUAAAGUUAGGUUCUGGUGCAGAAGCUAGGAUUUUA